AGUGAACGCUGGCGGCAGGCCUAAUACAUGCAAGUCGAACGGCAGCACAGCAGAGCUUGCUCUGUGGGUGGCGAGUGGCGGACGGGUGAGGAAUACAUGGGAAUCUGCCCAGUCGUGGGGAUAACGUAGGGAAACUUACGCUAAUACCGCAUGCGCCCUUCGGGGAAAGCCGGGGACCUUCGGGCCUGGCGCGAUUGGAUGAGCCCAUGUCGGAUUAGCUAGUUGGCGGGGUAAUGGCCCACCAAGGCGACGAUCCGUAGCUGGUCUGAGAGGAUGAUCAGCCACACUGGAACUGAGACACGGUCCAGACUCCUACGGGAGGCAGCAGUAGGGAAUAUUGGACAAUGGGCGCAAGCCUGAUCCAGCCAUGCCGCGUGAGUGAAGAAGGCCCUCGGGUUGUAAAGCUCUUUUGUCCGGAAAGAAAAGCGCCGGGUUAAUACCCUAGUGUCCUGACGGUACCGGAAGAAUAAGCACCGGCUAACUUCGUGCCAGCAGCCG
rnacentral:rRNA from 1 species